rnacentral:rRNA from 1 species
CCCUACGGGGUGCAGCAGCAGGGGCAGCAGUUGCAGAUAACACUGGCUCUAUCCGCGCUGUUGUUGCUGGUGUGAACCAGUCCAGCCGCCUCCGCCUGAUCCAGCACUCUGAUGCCCUCUUCUUUACUGAUCUGACGCGCAAAACCCCUCUCCACAAGAAACUCACCGGUCCCGUCAAACAUCAGGCAGACCUCUUUAGGCUUAUUACACUUUGCAAUGCUUACCCGGCAGGCACAUUUAGCCAGAGCAACAUAAUUGGCACUUUCUAUCAAAUGUUUGACCUCUUCAUAAGGAUGAAUGCGAUCGUGCGGGGUAACUGAUUUUUCUACGGCAACCACGCGCAUGAGGGGGGUCGGGUUUCCGGAAAAGGACGCACCGAGGCUGUUAUGAUGGUAUGCUUCCCAGAGCCUGGCCAAGCGGUCAUGAAUGGGAGAGC